UCGAGCGGACCGAUGGGAGCUUGCUCCUUUAGGUUAGCGGCGGACGGGUGAGUAACACGUGGGCAACCUGCCCUGCAGACUGGGAUAACUUCGGGAAACCGGAGCUAAUACCGGAUAACACCGAAAACCGCAUGGUUUUCGGUUGAAAGGCGGCUUUUAGCUGUCACUGCAGGAUGGGCCCGCGGCGCAUUAGCUAGUUGGUGAGGUAACGGCUCACCAAGGCGACGAUGCGUAGCCGACCUGAGAGGGUGACCGGCCACACUGGGACUGAGACACGGCCCAGACUCCUACGGGAGGCAGCAGUAGGGAAUCUUCCGCAAUGGACGAAAGUCUGACGGAGCAACGCCGCGUGAGCGAAGAAGGUCUUCGGAUCGUAAAGCUCUGUUGUCAGGGAAGAACAAGUGCCGUUCGAACAGGGCGGUACCUUGACGGUACCUGACGAGGAAGCCACGGCUAACUACGUGCCAGCAGCCGCGGUAAU
rnacentral:rRNA from 1 species